rnacentral:lncRNA from 1 species
UUGCUCGUUCCAUAACCCACCUAUUCCCUUCCUCUCUGAUUAUUCGAUUAUCCACCAAACUGAAUAGCUCGUGUUCACAGCUUUCUAUCUCACUAGUUUUUUGGAGGAAACUACUUAUUGAUCUUAUUUCUAAAAGAUUUGGAAUUCAGAGACCUUAUUCACUGCUUGAGGUAUUCUUUUAAACCUUUGCCACUUUUUCAUUUUUUUUUUCCUCAAAGCUUUUGUGGUACUUGCAGAUUAUGUCUAUACUUGGAUGAAAAAUACAUGAGGCUUUGAUGUACAAUAUGUCAAAAAUCGCAAGCAAUUGAUAGAUAGUAUUCAAUUUCUGGUUUCUUUAUAUAUUUGGCUUGCAGAUUUUUCUUGCUUAGCGACCAAGCAUUCUGGUACUUGUGCUUCAAACUUUACUGUUGUUGCAACUUUGGUUAAAUAAUUUUACUACUUAACUAAUUUUUACAAACUUAAGACAUCAAUUCAAUGGUUUUGUAAGCGAGAGGUCCGGGGUUCAAAACUUCCCACUUAUACCAAAAAAAAAUAAGAUAUAAUUAAGUUAUAUGUAACUAAUAAUUUACAUAUCAUAUAUAUGUGUAUAUAUAUAUAUAUUAGUAGAUGAUAUUCGACAAGUUUCCGGUUUAUAUCAUGGACUUUGUCGAAUUCUACAUAUUUAGUCAAACAAUUAUAACAUAAGAGACUAAAUUAACGAGUUUUCUUAAAACUAUGAUAUGAUAGGCCAACUAUAUCCCUAAAUGCUGAAGACAAGUGCUAAUCACACUCUCUCUGUUUGGAUUUGACUGUUUUUCAAAAACUAGUUUUUCAUUUCAAAAGUACUCUAAAAAAUAGUCUAAAAUUUUUUUAAUGUUUAAAAAAUAUCCCAAAAUAUAUUUUAAAAACUCUUCUACUCUUAAAUAUCCCAAAAUAUACUAUAAAAACUCUGUUAUAGUAAAAUUUUUCAAAAACACCCUCAAAACAGCUAAUCCAAAUGGAUGAGAUCCAAACAGAGAUGUAUGCAUCCGAACAAAGAUGUAUGCAUCCAACAGCACCUCUUUUUAUAUGCCUCCAACAGCUCAAUUGGCAUCACUAUGAAUCCCCAGCACUUAACCUGAGAGAGAAAUUGCCUUCAUACUCAUUACAAAGGAUGAGUUUCAAAUACCACUAAUCUAAAUAUAAGUCACCUUUCCUGGUACACAACAGGGUAUUUUAUUAAAUCGUAAUAAAAACCAUCAAUUUCACAUCAGAAUGCACAUAAAUGAUAGAAAGAAGAAAACCACAAGCAACCAGUAAUAGAAUAAAGCUGCAAGCAUAUUACUCUAAGCCAACAAGAGCUCAUCUUCAUAUUCAUGAAUAACGAAAUUUGCUCCCUUUUUUCCUUAGCACAUCAACACCCAACAAACCUACCAAAAAUCAUCUCGAACACAAAUUAUCCUAAUUAAGGGAGGAAAAAAGUCCAAGAAAUAUUGCCAAUGAAAUAUUCUCAACUCAGGAUAGAUCUGACAAAAACACAUACAAAUCAUAAAUUCAAUCAAUCAGAGACAUAGAAAGAAAGACCAGAACCGUACAAGACAUACCAACAUCAAGAAAACGUAUGAACAAAAUAAAUCAGCCACAGAACAGUUUAGAAAAAUAAAGGAUACAUACCUUUUAGAUGAUAAAACAAGUCUAACCAAUUCAACCAUGAUCAGAUCAACUAAAAAUUGCCAUUCAUCUAAUUAUAUUUAUUUUCUCUUGCAUAUUUUGCUAUUGUUUUUAGAUUUAGGAUUUUUCUUGCAUAUUUUGCUUUUUUCCCCCUUGAUUUAGGUUGCAGGUUGAAAGAGAGAUAAAAAAAAAAGAAGUGGCUGCAGAGGCAUUAUGAUUAAGAUUAGGUUGAACGUAGGAGAAGUACUGUUUGACUUGGAACGUUCUCAAGUACAGUUUUACCCAUGUUUGACCACAGAGGUAUUGUUGAUACAAAAGGUUGUUUCCGAGAUUUCAUCCUGCAACAGCUUUCUGUUUUAAUUAUGGGGUCCCACAUUAAUUCAAGGAUGAAUAAGAGGUAACCUUCUAAUUUAAUUCUCUUACCGUUAUUGAAAAUACAUAUGAUUCAUUGAGGAAGUUUUAAAUUAGAAUUCAAAGGUAACCUUCUAAUUUAAUUCUCUUACCGUGAUUGUAAUUCAAUAUGAUUCUUGUGUUUGCAAAUCAAUACGAUUCUUCUCCUGUAUUUGCCAAAUGCGAGAUUACACAUUCAGAGUAUUUGCCCAAUGCGAUUACGUAUCAGAGUAUUUGCCCAUGUAAUCUUGAAUUAGAAGUGCACCUUUUGAAUCCAAAUGACUUGUGAUAAGCUCUAUCUUUAUUAUUCUUAGUUUAAUUGAUAUCACGAAUAGUCCCAAUGAUUUCUCAAAACUUUCUGAUGUAUUUGUGUUUUCAGAGUAACUUUGAAAAUGCCGAAGUUUCAUACCGUUUCUAGGAAACCAAAAAGGUGUGAUAGAGACCAAAAAAAUCGCAUUUGCCUGCAGCCACUGCAACCAAGAGUAUGCGAUCUCUUUGACUGAGGCGGUAGAACACACCAAGAAGUGUAAAAUGGUGGGGCAAAUCGUAUAGUAACUUAGCCAAAGAAACCUCAGAAUCAAUUGCUAAAACUAAGCAAUUAUUGUCCUCUUAAUAAUAGGAGAAAGCUGCUACAACUAGGGCUGCCGCUGCUCAGGAACGAGCUUGUGCACAUAGAGGGCAACAGCAGCAACAACAGGCCCCGGUCGUGUGACAACAACAGCAGCAAGCAGCCAUUGUGAAUGGUGAUCUUUGCCUUGAACUACUACUUUGACACAGGUCUAAUCAGUCAGACAUUAGACUUACAUUCUUACCUAUUUUAGUUAAUGCCUGGGACAGCUUUCACACAAACUCACAAGAGUGUUUACUCUUGUAAGUUGAAAUCAGAUGCUGAAUUUCAAAUAUAUCAACUCUAAGAAAGAAUAGUUUAGGCAAAAUGUAUACCUUUGCUCUGAUUUUGGAUAUUCCCUCACUGAGCAAAGAAUAGAUCAACAUUACUUCUAGUCAGAUACAUAUCCAGAAAAGAUCAACUUUGUCAUGCCCCAAAUUUGUGAUAAAUAAUAUUUUAAUAAUAAAAGCAUGUACAGAUAUUAAUGUUACUUCUAUCCACUUAAAUAGAGAGAUAAUGCUACAAAAAGUAAGAAAUAUGGCUGGAAUUAUUUAUGUUAUCAGGGUUGAGAUUCACCCUACAAUACAAAAUGCAUCGUGUACAGUUGAGAUAAAGAAGUGUACAUCAAAACAUUAGUUUUUAGAUUUGUCAAAUCAUUAAUUUUUUAAAAGGUGUUGCCAAAUUAUUAAUUCCUUAACGUAAGGUUAAGUGAUUCUAGUUGUACAUGCGUGUAAUCCUCAUCAGUCCAAUAGUUACUGUCUUAAAAUUUAGAUAGCGUAAUAAAAUCUUAAGCACACAGAUCAUUGCCAAACAUGGUAAGAUGAUGAGAGUUACUAACCAGAUUAGUUGGUCAUAAAUUGAAAGAGUCAUUGAUCUUGAAAACUAACUGGAGAGAUAUUUCUUGAAAUUGCCACUAAUACUUGACAUAUGUUUUAAUUGUAUCUUGGCAAUAGAAGAUUUGAAUAAUAGCCAUUGUUUGAAUUUGAUUGCUUGAUGUGUUGUUCUCAUGCUUGAGGACAAGCAUGGUUUAGGUGUGGGAAAAAUUGAUAGGUCAUAAUUUGUUGCUAAAUUUAUAAUUAUUUUUUCCUUUGAUUUUAGCCAAAUAUUAUUUUAAUUGAUUGAUUCUACUUAUAUUUGGUUAAUAGUGCUAAUUGUAGGAAAAGGACCAAAACGUAAUUAAAAGUGAUAAUUUUUCAGUUAAUUUGAUGGUGGUACAUUCGGGACCUACAUUCAAGGCCAGAAAGACGGGAUUGAUAUUGGACAAUCUCUCAAUCCGAGUCAACUUCCUAAUUUGUUAGCUGCCAGGACUCUCCUUAUUUCGGGGAUCAUUCUCAAGGAAAAGGAAAGUUGAAGGAAAUUGAUUUGUAAUAGAAAUCUUUUUAGGAGUUGGAUUGGUAGUAAAAAACCAAUCAAUGAGGUAAUUGAGAAAAGAUUCGUGAGACAUCAAUUCAUGAUCUUUUUUGCUAGAGACAAGAAAGCCGGAUCCCGCGUAAUGAUAAGUUUUAGUUUUUCCUUAGGAAGCUAAAAUAGAGGAAUUGAGAGGGACGGCCGGCAGAGUGGUUUUUCUUUGUCUUCUACUUUUUCCUUUUAGCCGACUUUUGGGAGGAAAAACAAGGGAAAAGCUUGGAACAAUUAUUUGCAUGGCUUGUUCUCCAUUAAUGGAGAACUAAUUUUAUACUUCUAGUCAAGAAGACAACUGAAGAUUUGGUUCUGCAAUUACUGUGAGAUCGAAUUUAUUUUAAUCGCUUCCUCAUUUAUUGGUAUUUAUAUGCUUCAUGCUUUCAAUUGUUAUAGCUCUGGUGUAUGAUUGAUUAGUGCGCAAUAAUUAAUUACUCAUAUAGGCUAUUUUGCUAAAUAGGGGUAAUUGAAUCCGUAAUUGCUCGUUAUCUCUAUCCCUGUAGCAACUGGCAUAAUUGGAUUUAUGUCAGGAAAACAUACGAUCUAAUUUAAACAAACCCUCAUAUCAUGUUUGUUAGUUAGGAUUGGACAUUUCUAAUUCUUAAUGCAAUUUAGAAAUUAAAUUCUACGGUCGUAUUUAGGGUUAUUUUUGGGUUAGAGAAAUAGUUAACGGUAGUACCUAAACUAUCGAGAAAGUAAGGAAAGGUUGGUUGUUUAUCGCGUGUAUGACAACUAUAACCAAUCUAUUAAUAAAUGUGGAAUUAUCUAUGAAUCGAUGAUCAGUGCAUGAACCAUUUCUGAAGUGUACUCUUGGCUAGAGUUUCCCUGAUUAUUUCUCCCAAUUAAUUAUUUUGCACAUUUAAUUUAUUUAGUUAGCAAUUCAUAAGCAUUUAAUCCUAAAACCCCCCAUACUUUGAACUCUAGAAGAAACGAAUUAUCCCCAAUCCCUGUGGAUUCGACCCUACUCACCGCUAUAUACAAAAUCUGUAUUUCUCUUGAGUAGGUAAUUAUUAUUGCACAGGUUCGGCCUGUCAAUUGUCUUUAUUCUCUUAGUACUUUUAGCAAUUAUGAAGGGAAUGAAAUGGAUUGUUGAUUCUAAGCUUUUCUCAAUUUACACUUGAAAGACACUUCCUUUGACCUCUUUAAUAAGAGCGACCAAUAUGCUUCUCAUCAUUACAUAUAAAGACCAUAUGUUUGUUUUGAUAUAAUUCCAAAAAGCAAAUUGAUGAAAGUCUCAUUAGCCUUAAAUCUAUUGCUGCUUUUAUUAUUAAAAAAAUAACCCUUAAAUCUAUUGCUCAAAAAAGUAUGAUGAAAUAUGAGGAGGCUAAAUCCUUCAAUAUUCAUUUUGUUUUUGUUUCCUGCGUCUUUCAUUUCAUAGUCAAUUUAGUCUUUGAAAACUUUCAUCAAGAACAUAAAAAAGGUCAUUCUACAAAGACAAAUAAUCUAUUUAGAUCUAUGAUUCAAUUUACCCCCGCUGCAUGGCUCUCAGCCUCAAAGUCAUCUCUCUGCUGCUACUAUUACUAGCCGAAUUAGCUACCAUAAUUUGAAAACUCCAACUUCUGAUAAUGGAUUUUGGAGCUUUCAAUUAACUAGGUGCUUAGGGCUUGGAACAGCAGUAUUAUUGGCCGAAAAAACAAGGAAGAGUCUCCGCUCAGUUUUUGCCGAUGCAAAGCCCAUGCCCUUCGUCAACAUAAACUCUCAGAAACAUGUCAAGCCACCCUAAAUACAAGGUUAUCCAUGAACAUCCUAAAUGUUCAUGGAUUUCAAAUCCAAAUCCUUCUUAAGGUAUCCAAAUAAGUUGAGAAAUUUGGAGGAGGAUUUGAAAUCCAAAUCCAUCCAAAUCCCUCAAUCGAAAUGCACCGCUUAUGAAUCUGUAGAAGUAAAUGAAAGCAUACAUAUUGAAAACUAAGUAGGAAAAAGAAUGAGGAGUUGAGCAUUGACAUAUUUGCAUCUUUUUCACCAUAAAAUAUCUAUAUUAAGCAAAAAUAGCAGAUUAAUCUAUGCUUGUGUCUGGAAUUAGUUCACGAUUAGCAACAUAAUUGCCUUUGCUAGAAAGGUUUAUGAAGUGACAUAGGCAUAUUAGUCUCUUUAAACUAAACCAACGCAAAGGGAAAAAGAGGGAUAUUGAAAAAAGGGAUUGAUAGGUUGAAAUUUUAUCAUUUAUUUUAUUAUUAAUUUUCCCUAUUACCUGACCUGAUGUGGAUUAAUUGUUGGAUUUUACUCAUUUUUAGUAUUUUGUAUUUAUUUCAGGGAGUAGAAUAAAAAUAUAAUAACAAGUGCCAGAAAAGGAGUCCAAGUAACAGAGCUUAUCCUAGGGGCAUUGUUGGCAAAGGAAAGCUUUUGCCCAUUUUGGUAAUUGCUGAAGAGGAGAGGACGGCUAAAUCUUCUUUUUCCUGGGAGCCGCCGCACAGUAGGAGGCAUUAGAUAGAAAUUAGAAUUAGGAACAGAGAAUGAGCACUAUCCUUUGAGCUUUGCUUUUGACUUUUCAACUUUCAUUUUUUCUUAGUAGUUUUUUUUCCACGCAUGUCAGGAGCAAAAUUGGGAG